AUGGCACACUUCCAUGACAGACUGCUUUACGUUCAUAGCUUAGCAUUUUUGAUAUGGCACUUUGUCAAAAGAAAAGGAAAGAGCGGAGCCAAGAUAGCGGCCAAGCUGGAAUAUGAGUCCGUGCUGUGUGUGAAGCCCGAAGUUAGCGUCUACUGGAUCCGUCCCGGCCUCCAACAGCGGUUACAGGGCAUCUGACUGGAAGCUAGACCAACCUGAUUGGACUGGUCGCCUGCGAAUCACUUCAAAAGGAAAGAUUGCUUACAUCAAACUGGAAGAUAAAGUUUCAGGGGAGCUCUUUGCUCAGGCCCCCGUAGAACAGUAUCCUGGGAUUGCUGUGGAGACUGUGACAGACUCCAGCCGCUACUUUGUGAUCAGGAUCCAGGAUGGUUCCGGGCACAGUGCGUUUAUUGGCAUCGGCUUCACGGAUCGGGGAGAUGCCUUCGACUUUAAUGUUUCCCUGCAAGAUCACUUCAAGUGGGUAAAGCAGGAAACUGAGAUUUCCAAAGAAUCGCAGGAAAUGGAUAAUCGUCCCAAGUUGGAUUUAGGCUUCAAGGAAGGACAGACCAUCAAGUUGAGUAUUGGGAACAUUACAGCCAAGAAAGGAGGUGCUUCUAAGCCCCGGGCCUCAGGGAUGGGGGGGAGGGGGGCUGAGCUUACUCCCACCUCCACCUGGAGGCAAAGUCACUAUUCCCCCGCCAUCCUCCUCAGUUGCCAUCAGCAACCAUGUCACCUCACCACCUAUUCCAAAAUCUAACCAUGGAGGUAAUGAAUCAGAUAUCCUGUUAGAUUUGGAUUCUCCGGCUCCUGUCUCAACUUCAGCACCAGCUCCAGUUUCUACAAGCAAUGACUUGUGGGGAGACAUCAGCACUACAUCCAGCUCUGUUCCUAACCAGGCACCACAGCCAUCUAACUGGGUCCAGUUUUGAGUAGCAUUGGCAAGAAGUAAGAACACUUGAAGAAUAAAAAUGACCUCGAGGGCACCAUUUUCUGAGGGAGUUUAGGGACAGCUUCAUUUCCCAGAACCCAAAUCAGUGGUCAGUCUUUCCUGUAGCUUCUCUGUGCAUUCAGGCUGGAUUCUUUUUUUGUUACCUCUGUGUACUUGCUGUAUAGCCAGGGGACAAUCUGCUGUUUCCUGCUCAUAACCAAGCAGGGGAGUAGUGGGAAUUAUCACCCUGACUGACUUUGCAGAGUUCAGAAGGCCAACUUUAUGAGUGGGAGUGACCUCUAACAUACGUAAGUUCUUGAACUCAUUUCAGAAUCAUCUCAUGAUUCCCUAGUUAGCAAUUUCAGGAGAGACAAAUACCUUGAAACUGUCUUAUCCACCAAUCUAAGAUUAAAAAUGGGCAGGCUGGCCCCAGGACUCACAAAGUUUGGGUUUUCAUAGGGUUAGAUUUGGAGAAAGCUGUGUCCCAGUUCUUUUCUGUAAGGCCUCCUUCAGGCUUAUCCCAUUCAGUGAACAUCCCGUGCUGGGUGGAGCCCCAUCACCUUCUUGUGUGUUUACAUAUUUUUUCCUUUGACAAGAGGGUUGUGUUGGUGGUACCUUACUGUUUUCUCGUUCAAUAGUGCAGCAUCUUUGACCAGUGAAUAUUUCUGAGAUGAAGGGAGUCAAGGGGCUGUGCUUUCCACAUUGUACUCCACAGANGUGUUUAAUUUCUUGCAGCUCCAUGUAAUUGCUGCAUUUGAAGCAUAGCAUUAAUUUAUNCUCACCCUGUGUUUGACCUGAAGAGUUUUAACUUGAUGUGUAGAGCAGAAAGCUGGAAGCACUUAGCUCCCAUUCAGUACCCACAAUGCCUUGCUGCCUGGUUUUGACUCCUUUUCAUAAACAUUUCAUUUCGUCCAUUUAGCGAUUCAAUGGAAAGCUGCUGUUAAUUAUGUCAGUAUGAAGAAGGUUAAGCCACAGCUUUCUUUACCUGUGACAGGUAGCCUUGCGCUAGGCUUUGAUACCCAGCUAGGAUAUCUUAAAGCAAGUUCCCACCCCAUCACUCUCCAGNGUCUGCCCACCAUUCCUUUUACAGUGCUGUGAAGAGCUCCCGUUGAGGUUGGUGGGUACUGUCCUUUGUUUGUUGGGCAGUUUGAGGGCAGAAUGGGAGGACUCUCAUUCCUGCAAGCACCUGCAUGGAUAGCACACUCUGGCUGAAGAGGGUCCUUUCAAAUAUAUCGUUCUACUCAAUGCUUUCCUUAGCUUUUUCUAACUUUGGGUCCAUUCUUUCCCAUUGCCUCCUCCCCUUCCCAGGCAGCUCUCUUCUUGCAGAGCCAUGGCAGGACAUUAAAGUUCUGAUACAAACACUAAGAAGAAAGUAUAAGAUCACUAGUGACUGUUGGGAAACCUAUUUUCUCAAUCUUCCUCCAUUUUGUGUUCUUUGUAUUCUUAAGAUGAUAAUAUAUUAUGUAUUUGAAUUACUGAAAAUUGAAAAUGAAGUUGAAGAUAUAUGUAUAUAAGCGUAUGCUGUAUCGGUGCAAUAAUGGUAAUUAAAGAUAUUUAA